GGGGCAACCUGGCGGCGAGUGGCGAACGGGUGAGUAAUAUAUCGGAACGUACCCUGGAGUGGGGGAUAACGUAGCGAAAGUUACGCUAAUACCGCAUACGAUCUAAGGAUGAAAGUGGGGGAUCGCAAGACCUCAUGCUCCUGGAGCGGCCGAUAUCUGAUUAGCUAGUUGGUGGGGUAAAGGCCUACCAAGGCAUCGAUCAGUAGCUGGUCUGAGAGGACGACCAGCCACACUGGAACUGAGACACGGUCCAGACUCCUACGGGAGGCAGCAGUGGGGAAUUUUGGACAAUGGGCGAAAGCCUGAUCCAGCAAUGCCGCGUGAGUGAAGAAGGCCUUCGGGUUGUAAAGCUCUUUUGUCAGGGAAGAAACGGUGGGUUCUAAUACAGCCUGCUAAUGACGGUACCUGAAGAAUAAGCACCGGCUAACUACGUGCCAGCAGCCGCGGUAAUACGGAGG
rnacentral:rRNA from 1 species